ACGCUCGUUCAGGAGCCGUUUCCCGGUGAUUGGCCCCGCAUCCGGUGGGACCGUGCGAGGCUCAGGAGCGCCGUCGCGGGCGACCGGGACGCGGGAUACCGUCGGCGCAGUCCUCGCGGUCCUCGCCCUCGGGCUCGCCCUCCGCCUCAUCAUCGCAUACCUGCUUCCGGGGUCCGGGUUCGCGACCGACCUGGGCGCGUUCGACUUCUGGGCCCGCGACCUGGCUGCCCACGGCCCGUUCGGGUUCUACGAGCGGACGUUCUUCCACGACUACACGC
rnacentral:misc_RNA from 1 species